rnacentral:rRNA from 1 species
CCUACGGGAGGCUGCAGUGGGGAAUAUUGGACAAUGGGGGGAACCCUGAUCCAGCCAUGCCGCGUGUGUGAAGAAGGCCCUCGGGUUGUAAAGCACUUUCAGUGAGGAAGAACGCCUGGUGGUUAAUACCCAUCAGGAAAGACAUCACUCACAGAAGAAGCACCGGCUAACUCCGUGCCAGCAGCCGCGGUAAUACGGAGGGUGCGAGCGUUAAUCGGAAUUACUGGGCGUAAAGCGCGCGUAGGUGGCUUGAUAAGCCGGUUGUGAAAGCCCCGGGCUCAACCUGGGAACGGCAUCCGGAACUGUCAAGCUAGAGUGCAGGAGAGGAAGGUAGAAUUCCCGGUGUAGCGGUGAAAUGCGUAGAGAUCGGGAGGAAUACCAGUGGCGUAGGCGGCCUUCUGGACUGACACUGACACUGAGGUGCGAAAGCGUGGGUAGCAAACAGGAUUAGAUACCCGGGUAGUC